rnacentral:rRNA from 1 species
GACAGAGGGUGCAAACGUUGUUCGGAAUUACUGGGCGUAAAGCGCGUGUAGGCAGCUCGGAAAGUCGGGUGUGAAAUCCCCCGGCUUAACCUGGGAACUGCGUCUGAUACUGGACGGCUUGAGUAUGGGAGAGGGAUGUAGAAUUCCAGGUGUAGCGGUGAAAUGCGUAGAUAUCUGGAGGAACACCAAUGGCGAAGGCAGCUCGCUGGGACGGUACUGACGCUGAGACGCGAAAGCGUGGGGAGCAAACAGG